UCAAAGGCUCUUUUAAGAGCCACCCACCUCUCCAGUAAAAGAGCUCU
rfam:Aptenodytes forsteri contig7164, whole genome shotgun sequence.